GUGAGGAAUAUUGCGCAAUGGAGGCAACUCUGACGCAGCCAUGCCGCGUGCAGGAAGAAGGCCUUCGGGUUGUAAACUGCUUUUGUACGGAACGAAACGGUCCGGGUUAAUACCCUGGGCUAAUGACGGUACCGUAAGAAUAAGCACCGGCUAACUACGUGCCAGCAGCCGCGGUAAUACGUAGGGUGCAAGCGUUAAUCGGAAUUACUGGGCGUAAAGCGUGCGCAGGCGGUUUUGUAAGACAGGCGUGAAAUCCCCGGGCUCAACCUGGGAAUUGCGCUUGUGACUGCAAGGCUGGAGUGCGGCAGAGGGGGAUGGAAUUCCGCGUGUAGCAGUGAAAUGCGUAGAUAUGCGGAGGAACACCGAUGGCGAAGGCAAUCCCCUGGGCCUGCACUGACGCUCAUGCACGAAAGCGUGGGGAGCAAACAGGAUUAGAUACCCCAGUAGUCC
rnacentral:rRNA from 1 species